rnacentral:rRNA from 1 species
UACGUAGGGUGCGAGCGUUGUCCGGAAUUACUGGGCGUAAAGAGCUCGUAGGUGGUUUGUCGCGUUGUUCGUGAAAACUCACAGCUCAACUGUGGGCGUGCGGGCGAUACGGGCAGACUGGAGUACUGCAGGGGAGACUGGAAUUCCUGGUGUAGCGGUGAAAUGCGCAGAUAUCAGGAGGAACACCGGUGGCGAAGGCGGCGACCUGGGUCGACACUGACGCUGAGGCGCGAAAGCGUGGGGAGCAAACAGG